rnacentral:rRNA from 1 species
GAUGAACGCUGGCGGCGUGCCUAAUACAUGCAAGUCGAGCGAACAGACGAGGAGCUUGCUCCUCUGACGUUAGCGGCGGACGGGUGAGUAACACGUGGAUAACCUACCUAUAAGACUGGGAUAACUUCGGGAAACCGGAGCUAAUACCGGAUAAUAUAUUGAACCGCAUGGUUCAAUAGUGAAAGACGGUUUUGCUGUCACUUAUAGAUGGAUCCGCGCCGCAUUAGCUAGUUGGUAAGGUAACGGCUUACCAAGGCAACGAUGCGUAGCCGACCUGAGAGGGGGAUCGGCCACCCGGGAACUGAGACACGGUCCAGACUCCUACGGGAGGCAGCAGGAGGGAAUCUGCCGCAAGGGGCGAAAGCCUGACGGAGCAACGCCGCGUGAGUGAUGAAGGUCUUCGGAUCGUAAAACUCUGUUAUUAGGGAAGAACAAAUGUGUAAGUAACUAUGCACGUCUUGAGGGUACCUAAUCAGAAAGCCACGGCUAACUACGU